rnacentral:rRNA from 1 species
UGGGGAAUAUUGCACAAUGGGGGAAACCCUGAUGCAGCGACGCCGCGUGAACGAAGAAGGUAUUCGUAUCGUAAAGUUCUGUCCUAUGGGAAGAUAAUGACAGUACCAUAGAAGAAAGCUCCGGCUAAAUACGUGCCAGCAGCCGCGGUAAUACGUAUGGAGCGAGCGUUGUCCGGAAUUAUUGGGCGUAAAGGGUACGCAGGCGGUUUAAUAAGUCGAAUGUUAAAGAUCGAGACUCAUCCCCGUAAAGCAUUGGAAACUGAUAAACUUGAGUAGUGGAGAGGAAAGUGGAAUUCCUAGUGUAGUGGUGAAAUACGUAGAUAUUAGGAGGAAUACCAGUAGCGAAGGCGACUUUCUGGACACAAACUGACGCUGAGGUACGAAAGCGUGGGGAGCAAACAGG